CGUCUCUCACUUUUUUCCUCAGUGCUUCUGAGAUACACGAGGGCAGUUAACUUUCUUUCAGUGCCAUUUUCCCCAGGCUCUUUGUGAAGAUGACUGGCACACAUUAGCCAGUCUGCUGCAGGCAGCCUUGCCUUGUCAAUUUGCUUGGUUAACUUUUGAGAUUUUGACAAUGCAGCAGAGCAUCAGAGGAGCAGUAGACACUCUUGUAGCAAGAGAGAAGCGGGGAGCUGGCCUGGUCAUGAGGAGCUGCACUGCCCCUUCUGGGCUGGAGCCGUGUCGCCUGAAACUUUUUGCAGAACAGUUUUUGCAAAGUACAGAAAGGAGUGAAUUGAAGAACUGAAGCCCUCCUCUGUCUGUAUGAUCAACUUUUGGAGAAUGUUUAAAGCUGAUGAAAGCCACAGAAGUAGCUCAAAAUCCACCAUGCCAUCAGGGCCAAACUGAAAAUGAAUUUGGAAAAAAAUGCAUUUAUUUUAUUUUGAAAGUUAUCCGCAUAGGAACUCAAAAAUCAACCUGGGCAUUUGCAGAUGCAGAAGAACUUGUUUCUUCUUCAUUAAUUUGUUUUAAAAAUAUAUUCUCCUGCCUUUCCUAAAAGGUUCAAGACAGCUUAUAGCAUAAAAGCCAACAUGUGCUGCUACAUGAGCACUGAAUUUAAGCAUAAGACCACCAAAACAGAUGAGCACAGAAGUUGAAUAUAUUGCACCAGGCAAUCAUCUAUUGCUUGAAACUUGACAAGUAUGAACUUGCCUACUACAUUCCAGAGUGGAUGAACAGCUCUGCUAUGAACAGUAACAAUGGUAUUCUGUUAGCUUUUAAUCAAUUGCCAAACUUAUUUGGGAAUUCAUCCACAUUUGUUCCUGGGUUUUGUUUCAUGCGCAUGCUCUCACCAGCAGUGCCCCAGCAUUGUUUCUCAGGGCCUGGUACAACUUCUUAACACAUGGGGAACCCUUUCAACUUCACUGCCACCACCAUCCCUUCUAUGUUUUGAAAACACAUGCAGAUUUAAUUGAUUCAUUGAAUUAAAGCUAAUUGGAUCAAUCAUGUAA